UGGUGUGAGGGCGAUCUGGCUGCGACAUCUGUCACCCCAUUGAUCGCCAGGGUUGAUUCGGCUGAUCUGGCUGGCUAGGCGGGUGUCCCCUUCCUCCCUCACUGCUCCAUGUGCAUCCCUCCCGAAGCUGCGCGUUCGGUGGAAGAGGACGACCAUCCCAGAUAGAAGGAGUGUACCGUUCUUCGGUCAAGGGUAUACGAUAG
rnacentral:sRNA from 1 species